UAAAAGAAUAUUCUGUUAAAUUUAACGGAAGAUUAACGCUUGAAGUUAACACUUCUAUAAUCUUAUACGACCAUCCUUCUCUAACAAUGCUUCUCUAACCUUAUGAAUAGUUGCAAAAGCCCUAACCUAACCGGAUCUCUCACUCCCACUCCCACUUCCACUCCCAAUCGAUUGUUGUCGCUGUCUUCUUUCUCUGGAAUGUCGCUGAUACCACGACGCUUGUCUGCUUCGAGAAUCAGGUUGAAGCUUUGGAGAAGAUCGAGUUCCCCAAAGUGAAUUGGAAUUCGAUUACUCCAAUCACUGAUAAGGGUUCACCUUAGGCGAAUUUUUGGAUGGAGAGGUGGAUCAUCAUCUCCGCCUCUGAUUAUGCCUCUGAUUCGCUUAGAAAGCUCGUGAAGAUCAAGGGAUGGCAGGUCUUGACGAUUGGGAACUCCAAAACGCCGUCAGAUUGGAGCCUUAAAGAUUUUGGUUCCUUGUUGACAAAAUUGGCCUGAGAAUCUCACCCUUGAGUUUGAGAGAUGGUGUCAAGGAAUAGAAAACGCUGCCCUGUUGUCUGUCAUGGUGGUCCUUUGCUAAUGCAGAAUUCUUAGGUGCCCUGUGCGUCGUCAUAAAGAGAUGGCAGGAAUCUUUAAGCCGUUUUGAGCACAUUUUUUAUCUGGAUAAAUUCUUGUUGCCACAUCAAAUCGUGCUCCAGACAACCUAUACAAAGAUGGAUUACAACGAGAUCUUUUCCUACCAUUUAUUUCCACUCUGAAGGUGUGUAAGUGACUGUAGAUUGGAAAGAUGCAUUGUCCAUCAAAUUAGUUCCUCUGUAGACUAUCGAAAAUUGACUUCGUCUCAGAAAGGUUUCUACUUUGUUGGUAAAGAUUUAUCUGAUUUCCUUAAGCAAAGAUUUGAAGAAUUAAUUGGUGAACACAAGGCUGGUCCACAAGAGGCGGAAGUAGUAAUGGGAAGAACAUGACAGGUUCCACUAACUGCUGAUGGAUGUGCUUUAUUUACUUUCGAGGAACUUUGCGAGAGACCUCUUGGAGCUGCAGAUUAUUUUGGAUUAUUGAGUUGUUUUACGAGCACCAGUUACGCCCGAUGCAUAUCACACACUAGGACUUGCCCAUGAUGCAUUGGGUGAUAAGAAGAGAGCCUUCGGUUUCUACUUGCUUGCUGCACAUUUAAUGUCCAAAGAUUCAUCCCCCUGGAAAAUGCUUGUUUAUUGGUCAAUGUAAGGUUUUGUUGUUGUUGAUAGCAUUCUUUAAUAUUACAUUUUUUCUUUGUGGUAUAUUUGUAUGUCCAUAUGAUGAGUUCAUCCACGCAUAUGGUAGAUUUCCAUGACUCUGUCUGAUAGUUUUAUUGUGGUGGGAGUGUAGCAAUUUUUAUAAAGGGAACUGAAUUUAUUGGGACUGAUUUCAACUUGUGCUUUCCUGUCAUGAGUUUCUUUAUUAUAUUAUUUACAGAGUAGAGUACUAAA